GCCAUAGACUGCAUCGAUCACUCCUCCGACCUUCUCUGCCUGUCUUGCACAGUAAGUUUGACAUAUUUCUUUUAUCUUAACUGUUUUCAGUGAAGCAAACAAGCUUUGUUUUGUACUUAUGCUUGAUGUCCUUAGCCUGGCUGAGUCAUCCUGUUGCAUGAAUCACUUGCCGUUCUUUCCCACAACAGUCUGGACUUCGGCCCAUUGGGAGCGUGUAUUAGCGAUCAGAAAAUAACCUGGCCAAUCAGUGACUGUGUUCAUUCACAACGCCGUUAAUUCUGCAGUUGACUUUGCAAAGUCGGCAGAAAUCAUUUAGAUUCGCAGAAGACGUCAGAUAUAAACGAUUUCUGCCGACUUUGCAAAGUCAACUGCAGAAUUUACAGCGUUCUGAAUGAACGGAGCUUUGAAAAGUCCCACAGCAUGUGUUAGACGUCACCAUCUACACAUGACCAAUUAGGGCAGGGGUGGGGAACACUGUGCCAUGGUUUUCCUUCCAACCCAAAACUCCACCAGGUGAUUUCACUGAUCAGUGAAACGGACAUGUUUGUAGUCUUUGGGAAUAGACACUGAUGUAUCUUUGAACACAUAGUUGUAACAUGUGUGUGCCAGUUGAAAUCCUUAUUGAUCAGCACUCCCAAGUACUUAUAGGAGGAGACUUGUCUGAUGUUAUGGUCACGAACAGUAUUCUUUUUAUCUUGUCUUUAAGCUGCUGCUCGACAGUUUGAUUACAAAAUGAGCCAGAAGCACUCCGAGGAUACGGACAAGUCUUGGCUGCGUUUUGCACCAAACCGACAGGGAGGCAUCCCAAGAAAUGCUUCGGUGCAGCAGGGAGCUGUCCCAAGAAGUCCCGAUGCAUGUGGCAAAUGACAUUUUCUACUAAUUUUCUACAUUU